AUGGCCUCCUCCGGGCAGGUCACCGGGCAUUGGGGCUUAAUGAGCUCUACAGGGGCGAUGCUGUUGGCCUGUAUUUGCCAGAAGGCCAUGAUGGGGUGACUCAUGCCUGAUGAGGAGUCUUGCUGGGAGAGGGACCUGCAAAGCAGUUGCCUUCGUGCCCCCACCCACAAACCAGGGCUACCUGGUGGGUCUGUGUGGCUCCCUCCAGGAUUGCUGUCUCCAACCUCACAGGCCCGCCAUGCUAGUCUGAGAACCAGGGAAGCAGGCUUUCUGCUCAGCAGCAUCAAGCCCACCCCAGCUCCAAGCACAGGUGAUGCAUAUCAAAGGACGCUCAGCGAGUAGGGAGAAGGCAGGGGACAAAAGCGUCAUAAACAACACUCACCAGCGACUAAGCUGCCAGCCUCAGAGACCAAGGAGUAAGCAGGCCAGCCUUUGAGCAUCUUGAGUUGGCAGCUUCUGAUCCCUGGAAAGAAGGACCCCCAGGCACCUUCACAGCGAGGAUGGCUUGAUUUUAGCUGUUCCCAGGAAGACGAGGUGUUCAAACAGACCAGGAGAGCUGUGAGCUGGAGCUGGCGUGGGCUCCAAGCAGAGCUGGGCUGAGCUCUGAGCCCUGUCUCUUGGGAGCUGUGCCAUCCCAGACAGACAUCACAGCGGGUGCAGAGGCUCCAGCACCUGGCAGGCUAAGUGAAGAGAUCAAGAAUUCCAGGCCAGCCUGGGCUAAACAGUGAGACCAAAUGAAGACACAAAAACACUUGACAAA